GUGGGUGAUAGCCCCGUACGCGAAAGGAUCUUUGAAGUGAAAUCGAGUAGGACGGAGCACGAGAAACUUUGUCUGAACAUGGGGGGACCAUCCUCCAAGGCUAAAUACUACUGACUGACCGAUAGUGAACCAGUACCGUGAGGGAAAGGCGAAAAGAACCCCGGAGAGGGGAGUGAAAUAGAACCUGAAACCGUAUGCGUACAAGCAGUGGGAGCCUACUUGUUAGGUGACUGCGUACCUUUUGUAUAAUGGGUCAGCGACUUAUAUUCAGUGGCAAGCUUAACCGUAUAGGGUAGGCGUAGCGAAAGCGAGUCUUAAUAGGGCGUUUAGUCGCUGGGUAUAGACCCGAAACCGGGCGAUCUAUCCAUGAGCAGGUUGAAGGUUAGGUAACACUGACUGGAGGACCGAACCCACUCCCGUUGAAAAGGUAGGGGAUGACUUGUGGAUCGGAGUGAAAGGCUAAUCAAGCUCGGAGAUAGCUGGUUCUCCUCGAAAGCUAUUUAGGUAGCGCCUCAUGUAUCACUCUGGGGGGUAGAGCACUGUUUCGGCUAGGGGGUCAUCCCGACUUACCAAACCGAUGCAAACUCCGAAUACCCAGAAGUGCCGAGCAUGGGAGACACACGGCGGGUGCUAACGUCCGUCGUGAAAAGGGAAACAACCCAGACCGCCAGCUAAGGUCCCAAAGUUGUGGUUAAGUGGUAAACGAUGUGGGAAGGCUUAGACAGCUAGGAGGUUGGCUUAGAAGCAGCCAUCCUUUAAAGAAAGCGUAAUAGCUCACUAGUCGAGUCGGCCUGCGCGGAAGAUGUAACGGGGCUCAAACCACAC
rnacentral:rRNA from 1 species